rnacentral:rRNA from 1 species
AGUGAACGCUGGCGGUAGGCCUAACACAUGCCAGUCGAACGGCAGCACAGUAAGAGCUUGCUCUUACGGGUGGCGAGUGGCGGACGGGUGAGGAAUACAUCGGAAUCUACUUUUUCGUGGGGGAUAACGUAGGGAAACUUACGCUAAUACCGCAUACGACCUACGGGUGAAAGCAGGGGAUCUUCGGACCUUGCGCGAUUGAAUGAGCCGAUGUCGGAUUAGCUAGUUGGCGGGGUAAAGGCCCACCAAGGCGACGAUCCGUAGCUGGUCUGAGAGGAUGAUCAGCCACACUGGAACUGAGACACGGUCCAGACUCCUACGGGAGGCAGCAGUGGGGAAUAUUGGACAAUGGGCGCAAGCCUGAUCCAGCCAUACCGCGUGGGUGAAGAAGGCCUUCGGGUUGUAAAGCCCUUUUGUUGGGAAAGAAAAGCAGCAGGUUAAUACCCAGCUGUUCUGACGGUACCCAAAGAAUAAGCACCGGCUAACUUCGUG